UGAUAUUGUUUUAGAAGAUAGUGU
rnacentral:snRNA from 1 species